rnacentral:rRNA from 1 species
UACAGAGGUCUCAAGCGUUGUUCGGAUUCAUUGGGCGUAAAGGGUGCGUAGGUGGCGCGCUAAGUCAGGUGUGAAAUUUCGGAGCUUAACUCCGAAACUGCAUUUGAUACUGGCGAGCUUGAGUUCGGGAGAGGUGAGUGGAACUGCGAGUGUAGAGGUGAAAUUCGUAGAUAUUCACAAGAACACCAGUGGCGAAGGCGGCUCACUGGCCCGGUACUGACGCUGAGGUGCGAAAGCGUGGGGAGCAAACAGG